UACGUAGGGGGCUAGCGUUGUCCGGAAUCAUUGGGCGUAAAGAGCGUGUAGGCGGCUCGGUAAGUCCGCUGUAAAAGUCAAAGGGCUCAACCCUUUGAAUGUCAAGUGGAUACUGCCGGGCUAGAGUCCGGAAGAGGCGAGUGGAACUCCUGGUGUAGCGGUGGAAUGCGCAGAUAUCAGGAAGAACACCAACGGCGAAGGCAGCUCGCUGGGACGGUACUGACGCUGGAGACGCGAAAGCGUGGGGAGCGAACAGG
rnacentral:rRNA from 1 species